GAUGAAGAACGCAGCGAAAUGCGAUACUUGGUGUGAAUUGCAGAAUCCCGUGAACCAUCGAGUCUUUGAACGCAAGUUGCGCCCGAAGCCAUCAGGUUGAGGGCACGUCUGCCUGGGCGUCACAUAUCGUUGCUCGAUGCCUAUCGCAUUGCGAUAGGACUUAGGGCGAAUGAUGGCUUCCCGUGAGCGUUGUUACCUCGCGGUUGGUUGAAAAUCGAGUCCUUGGUAGGGUGUGCCAUGAUAGAUGGUGGUCGAGUUAGCACGAGACUGAUCAUGUGCAUGCUCCCCAAAAUAUGGCCUCUGUGACCCACACGCGUCUUUUGACGCUCAUGACGAGACCUCAGGUCAGGCGGGGCUACCCGCUGAAUUUAAGCAUAUCAAUAAGCGGAGGA
rnacentral:misc_RNA from 1 species